rnacentral:rRNA from 1 species
GACGAACGCUGGCGGCGUGCUUAACACAUGCAAGUCGAACGGAAAGGCCCUGCUUUUGUGGGGUGCUCGAGUGGCGAACGGGUGAGUAACACGUGAGUAACCUGCCCUUGACUUUGGGAUAACUUCAGGAAACUGGGGCUAAUACCGGAUAGGAGCUCCUGCUGCAUGGUGGGGGUUGGAAAGUUUCGGCGGUUGGGGAUGGACUCGCGGCUUAUCAGCUUGUUGGUGGGGUAGUGGCUUACCAAGGCUUUGACGGGUAGCCGGCCUGAGAGGGUGACCGGCCACAUGGGGACUGAGAUACGGCCCAGACUCCUACGGGAGGCAGCAGUGGGGAAUAUUGCACAAUGGGCGGAAGCCUGAGGCAGCAACGCCGCGUGCGGGAUGACGGCCUUCGGGUGGUAAACCGCUUUCGCCUGUGACGAAGCGUGAGUGACGGUAAUGGGUAAAGAAGCACCGGCUAACUACGU